UGCCGCGUGCGGGAAGAAGGCCUUCGGGUUGUAAACCGCUUUUGUCCGGGAAGAAACGGGCUUUUCUAAUACAGAUGGCUAAUGACGGUACCGGAAGAAUAAGCACCGGCUAACUACGUGCCAGCAGCCGCGGUAAUACGUAGGGUGCAAGCGUUAAUCGGAAUUACUGGGCGUAAAGCGUGCGCAGGCGGUUAUGCAAGACAGAUGUGAAAUCCCCGGGCUCAACCUGGGAACUGCAUUUGUGACUGCAUGACUAGAGUACGGUAGAGGGGGAUGGAAUUCCGCGUGUAGCAGUGAAAUGCGUAGAUAUGCGGAGGAACACCGAUGGCGAAGGCAAUCCCCUGGACCUGUACUGACGCUCAUGCACGAAAGCGUGGGGAGCAAACAGGAUUAGAUACCCUGGUAGUCCACGCCCUAAACGAUGUCAACUGGUUGUUGGGUCGGUUUCGACUCAGUAACGAAGCUAACGCGUGAAGUUGACCGCCUGGGGAGUACGGCCGCAAGGUUGAAACUCACAGGAAUUGACGGGGACCCGCACAAGCGGUGGAUGAUGUGGUUUAAUUCGAUGCAACGCGAAGAACCUUACCUACCCUUGACAUGUAUGGAAUUCUCCAGAGAU
rnacentral:rRNA from 1 species